GACGAACGCUGGCGGCGUGCCUAAUACAUGCAAGUUGAGCGCUGAAGGUUGGUACUUGUACCAACUGGAUGAGCAGCGAACGGGUGAGUAACGCGUGGGGAAUCUGCCUUUGAGCGGGGGACAACAUUUGGAAACGAAUGCUAAUACCGCAUAAAAACUUUAAACACAAGUUUUAAGUUUGAAAGAUGCAAUUGCAUCACUCAAAGAUGAUCCCGCGUUGUAUUAGCUAGUUGGUGAGGUAAAGGCUCACCAAGGCGAUGAUACAUAGCCGACCUGAGAGGGUGGUCGGCCACAUUGGGACUGAGACACGGCCCAAACUCCUACGGGAGGCAGCAGUAGGGAAUCUUCGGCAAUGGACGAAAGUCUGACCGAGCACCGCCGCGUGAGUGAAGAAGGUUUUCGGAUCGUAAAACUCUGUUGGUAGAGAAGAACGUUGGUGAGAGUGGAAAGCUCAUCAAGUGACGGUAACUACCCAGAAAGGGACGGCUACCUACGU
rnacentral:rRNA from 1 species